ACNNGCGCUACGGGAGACGCUGUCUUUUUAAGGCAGGGCCGAAGGAGCAACCGCCCUCGGAAACUCUCAGGCAAAAUGGACCGUAGCCGGUUA
rfam:Rhizobiales bacterium TMED29 19669, whole genome shotgun sequence.